GCCAGCAUGGUGUAGUGGCUUGAAUGUUGGACUACGACUCUGGAGACCAGGAUUCAAAUCCCUGCUCGGCCA
rnacentral:tRNA from 1 species